CUUGGAAUUCUAGGGGGUCAAAACACAAUUUUCAGAAUAGCAAUGAACUUCAAAACACUACAUUACUCCCCUUCUCUCUACUCUGAAAAAAAAAACUAAAAAAAUUCUACUCAACAGCCGUCAUUCAGCCCCUGCCGCCUGCCACCCUCCCCGUCACUACCUGCCGCCGGUGGCCUAGACGCUGCUUUCUGGCGCUGCCCAUGCUCGCUCCUGCUCACGCCUCACUUCCUUAGUCGAAAGUCGAGGGUCGACUGUACUCUACUCCUCUUUACAAAAACCCUAAAAAUCAAAUUUUUGAUUUUUUUAGCCUUUGGAGAACAACUGCUCAGAAAUGAUUGAUGCUGAAAAAGUCUCUGAGAUCAAUAUGGCAUCCUCUGUUGAGUUGGGUGCAUCACUGCUAGAACAACUUGGUAAUGCAUUUGCUGAGUUGAAUAAUAACGAGAUUGGUCCUGGCAACCAGGUCCCAUGGAAUGAUGUUGAAGCACAUUUCCGAAACUUGGAGUCAUUGGUGAAGAAGAAACUUGAAGAAGUUGAAGCCAAGGAGAAGGAAUUUACGGAGAGGAAAACUCGCAAUCACAUGGUUCUUGCUGAGAGAGAGGUAGCUGUUGUGGCAAAGGAACAGGAUUUGCUUGAUAAGUUGCAAGAACUAAAAGAUGCUGCUUUGGCUGCCAUCUCUGAAGCUAGGGAAAAAAUUGUUCCAGAAUUUUUGGAUGCCGACGGAAAUAAGGUAAGCUGCUCUGUUGAUGAUGAAAAUGCAUCACUUGACACCCAAGGAAAAUCCCCUCGAAAUAUGGGGGAAGGUGUUGAAGGUGCUGCUGUGGAGGUUAAUCCUCUUGAAAAGCUGACACAAUUUUGUGAGCAGAUGGAUUCUAUAGGACUCCAAAACUUUGUCGUGGAAAACCUAAAAAAGGUUUCUUCUUUCUGGAAAGAACAGCUGUCAGUUGCACUUGGUAGUGCGACUGAACCAGCCCGUUUGGUGCUUGAUGCACUGGAGGGAUUCUUCCCUCCAACAGAAAUAACUCAAGAGGGGGAUGCUGCCCUCCGUGGCAUGCGUCAAUCUUGUUUAAUCCUUAUGGAGGCCCUGUCUGCCAUUUUAUCAAAGGCUGACUAUGCUGCAGACAUUUUUACCCCUGAAAUCCAGCAGCAGGCCAUCUCUAUUGCCAAUGAUUGGAAGCUUAAGCUGACUGGCGAAAGCGGUAAUGCUAUUACCAAUGGAAAAUCAUUGGAAGUAGAGGGAUUUCUGUGGCUUCUUGCAACCUUUAGGAUUGCCUCUGAGUUUGAUGCUGAAGAACUCUGCAAAUAUGCUCUUGCAGUUGCUAGUCACAGGCAGGCUACUGUGCUCUGCCGCUCUCUUGAUUUGACACAAAAGAUGCCAGGUGUGGUUGAGACAUUGAUUGAAAAGGGGAGACUGAUUGAUGCCGUUCAUUUUAUUCAUGCAUUUGAUCUCUCUGAAGCUUUCCCUCCUAUUCCUCUGUUGAAAACAUACUUAAAGGAGAUCAGAAGAAACUCACAAGGAAAUGGGAGUAUUGCAUUACAGAAUAGUUAUAAUGCACGAGAACUUGCAGCAAUAAAUAAUGUCAUUGAAUGUGUUGAACAAUAUAAACUUGAAGACUCCUACCCUCUUGAUCCGCUCUAUAAAAGGGUUUACCAGCUGGAUAAAACUUCAAAACUUGAUAAAAAGAGGUUAUUUGGAUCCAGUAAACAGAAUCAACAGCAAAAAAGGCCGAAAUCUGAUGGGGGAUCUCAGGACCGACGAGCUCGAGGCUUUGGUCGUGGUAGACAUGGUCCACCACCAUCUGGGACAGCGUAUAAUGGAGUUGCAGAGAGGCAAAUUCCUACUGUGCCGGGUCCCUAUAGCUAUCCAGUAUCUUCACAAGCUCUCUAUAAUGCUCCCACAAAUGAUCAAAGCAUGUCAUACUAUCCUCAAAAUCCCGUAUCUACAGGACCUCAUUAUGCGGCAGCCCCAACCUAUGCGGCAGCCCCAACCUAUGCAGCAGCCCCAACCCAUGUGGCAGCCCCAACCUAUGCGGCAGCCCCUACCUAUCCUUCUUAUCAGCAAGCACCACACCAACCACAGGCCUAAGAUGCAGACGACUAUGUCUUUAGUAUUUCGCACAGGAACACUUCAUAGGUCAGUUUUAACAGGUAUCAUACAUUCAUACUCCUACUCCACUGCCUCUUUAAUUUUCACCUUAUUUUCUUAAAAGUUUUUACAUGAGGAAAUCUUAUGGGGAGAACUUAGAUCCAUGCUGUUAGGAUAUUACAUAUUGGUUUAUGUCAGAACUCUGCAGUUAGCUAGUACGAGAUCUGGUUUGCUGCUGCUUUUUGCAGAUUAUUUUCUCUGGAAGUUUUAUGCAUAUUUUCUUGUGUAGAAGAUUUGCCCCCGGAUAUUUGGGAGAAAUUGUUAAAUGUAUGCACAAUGCAAGACUUCAAGAAACUGCAAUUACCAUGUCAAAAAUGUGCAUUGAUUGCAAAGUAAUAGGAACGAAGAUUUUGAAUAUGAUGAUAAUGGAGAUUUCACAGCUGAAAGAAUUUUUCUUAUUUUUAUUUUUAUUAUUUUUAUAGCUUUUUGUAGGGUCAUAUGAUGUGUUGUAUGAAAAGCUAUUGUUAUAGAUUUUAUCUUAAUAUCAGUGAUUGCCCUUUUAUUUUUGUAUCCAAACAUAUGAAAUGAAUGUUUUUAAGAAUUAAAAGUAGACAUUUUUAUAA